ACAGAGGUCCCAAGCGUUGUUCGGAUUCACUGGGCGUAAAGGGUGCGUAGGUGGUCAGGCAAGUCUAACGUGAAAUCCCAGGGCUUAACCCUGGAACUGCGUCGGAUACUGCCUGGCUUGAGGGUUGGAGGGGGGACUGGAAUUCUUGGUGUAGCAGUGAAAUGCGUAGAUAUCAAGAGGAACACCAGUGGCGAAGGCGAGUCCCUGGACAACUCCUGACACUGAGGCACGAAAGCUAGGGGAGCAAACAGGAUUAGAUACCCUGGUAGUCCUAGCUGUAAACGGUGCACAUUUGCUGUAAGCGGAAUCGACCCCGCUUGUGGCGAAGCUAACGCGUUAAAUGUGCCGCCUGGGAAGUACGGUCGCAAGAUUA
rnacentral:rRNA from 1 species